rnacentral:rRNA from 1 species
GCAAGUCGAACGGAAACGAUGGGAGCUUUGCUCCCAGGCGUCGAGUGGCGGACGGGUGAGUAAUGCAUAGGAAUCUGCCCAGUAGCGGGGGACAACUCGAGGAAACUCGAGCUAAUACCGCAUACGCCCUACGGGGGAAAGUGGAGGAUCUUCGGACUUCACACUAUUGGAUGAGCCUAUGCCUGAUUAGCUUGUUGGUGGGGUAACGGCCCACCAAGGCGACGAUCAGUAGCUGGUCUGAGAGGACGAUCAGCCACACUGGGACUGAGACACGGCCCAGACUCCUACGGGAGGCAGCAGUGGGGAAUAUUGCACAAUGGGCGCAAGCCUGAUGCAGCAAUGCCGCGUGUGUGAAGAAGGCCUGCGGGUUGUAAAGCACUUUCAGUAGGGAGGAAACUGUAACGGAAUAAU